rnacentral:rRNA from 1 species
CGCUAUCACUCCUACGGGAGGCAGCAGUGGGGAAUAUUGCACAAUGGGGGAAACCCUGAUGCAGCCAUGCCGCGUGUGUGAAGAAGGCCUUCGGGUUGUAAAGCACUUUCAGUAGGGAGGAAGGUAGUGUAGUUAACACCUGCAUUAUUUGACGUUACCUACAGAAGAAGCACCGGCUAACUCCGUGCCAGCAGCCGCGGUAAUACGGAGGGUGCGAGCGUUAAUCGGAAUUACUGGGCGUAAAGCGCAUGCAGGCGGCCUGUUAAGUCAGAUGUGAAAGCCCGGGGCUUAACCUCGGAAUUGCAUUUGAAACUGGCAGGCUAGAGUCUUGUAGAGGGGGUAGAAUUUCGGGUGUAGCGGUGAAAUGCGUAGAGAUCUGAAGGAAUACCAGUGGCGAAGGCGGCCCCCUGGACAAAGACUGACGCUCAGAUGCGAAAGCGUGGGGAGCAAACAGGAUUAGAUACCCUGGUAG